UACAGGGGGUGCAAACGUUGCUCGGAAUUAUUGGGCGUAAAGCGCGCGCAGGUGGUUUCUUAAGUCUGAUGUGAAAGCCCACGGCUCAACCGUGGAGGGUCAUUGGAAACUGGGGAACUUGAGUGCAGAAGAGGAAAGUGGAAUUCCAAGUGUAGCGGUGAAAUGCGUAGAGAUUUGGAGGAACACCAGUGGCGAAGGCGACUUUCUGGUCUGUAACUGACACUGAGGCGCGAAAGCGUGGGGAGCGAACAGG
rnacentral:rRNA from 1 species